rnacentral:lncRNA from 1 species
AUGAAGGUCAUGUACAUGUUGAAGGGCCAGAGCCCGGUGCAGGGCACCAUCCACUUUGAGCAGAAGGAAAAUGAACCAUUUAUGGUGUCAGAAUGCAUUACAGGAUUGACUGAACGCCAGCACAGAUUCCAUGUUCAUCAGUUUGGAGAUAAUACACCAGGCUGUACCAGGGCAGUUCCUUACUUUAAUCCUUUAACCAAAAACCACAGUGGGCCAAGGAUCAAGAGAGGCAGGUUGGAGACCUGGGUAAUGUGGCCGCUGGCAAAGAUGUGUCGCCAACAUGUCUGUUGAAGAUUCUCUGGUCUCACUCUCAGGACACUAUUCCAUCACUGCCCACACAAUGGUGUCCAUGACAAACCAGAUGACUUGGGCAAAGGUGAAAAUGAAGAAAGUACAAACACAGGAAAUGCUAGAAGUUGUUUGGUUUGUGGUGUAAUUGGGAUUGCCCAAU